UACGAAGGGUGCAAGCGUUAAUCGGAAUUACUGGGCGUAAAGCGUGCGUAGGCGGUUGUUUAAGUCUGCUGUGAAAUCCCCGGGCUCAACCUGGGAAUGGCAGUGGAUACUGGACAGCUAGAGUGUGUCAGAGGAUGGUGGAAUUCCCGGUGUAGCGGUGAAAUGCGUAGAUAUCUGGAGGAACACCGGUGGCGAAGGCGGCAUCCUGGACCGGCACUGACGCUGAGGAGCGAAAGCCAGGGGAGCAAACGGG
rnacentral:rRNA from 1 species